UACAUUAUUUUGUUUUGGCAUUGUGUGUGAACUGUUGCAUGAAAGAAAGAGGCACGAAGCUUCCUUCUUUAGCAUUGUUUACAAAAGCAUUACUAUCACUGCUACUCUCCCAUGCAACUCUCCUCUCUCUCCCUGUAGAUCCCUUCAUAGGGAGAAAUGGACAAGAAGAUGAUCAGGGUUAAAGGUACGAGAUCUGUGUCUCAAAGAGUACUUGCAAGUAGAAGAAAGAAGGGAUCAUGUCUAGUUACACGGCCUUUUAGAGGACGGAUCAAACGCAAGAUUUUUGUUCUUAUUUACAGGAUUUUUAAGAAUGGAAGCCAACGUGCCCGUCGUUACCUUGUUAGCAACUGCAGCCACUGUUAGCCAUCUUUCUUUUUAUUAACAUCAAGGGACCAUUAGUUUCCUUCUAAACUGGUUUAUGGAGUUCGAUCAGUUCUAUUUCUACUAAGUAAAAAAACUAAUGUUAGGUCUUAAGGAAGCAUCGAUCAGGUGAAGUUUGGAACUGUGGUUGUCAAUCUCUCUCGCAACGAUAAAUCACAAUCUCCAGUCGAGAGAUGUCUAUUUGCAGUUGUACUUUUAACUGUACAGGCGAAAGUCUUCCGAGGCCAAUAAGGUGUUCUUUUUCUUUUUCCUUUCUUCAGGUUUUAUUUUCAUUAUAUUGUGCAUUAGUGCUCCCGUAAUAUCUUAUAGUUAAUUUAUUUAUUUCCUUA